AAAUAGCCCGGAUAGAAACGACAUCCUUUUUUGUGGCAGACAGAUCCCGAAGCUUCGGGAGGAGAUGGUCACAAAAAAGAUACAGUGGAUAGCCGGAUUAAGC
rnacentral:sRNA from 1 species